GUGAGUAACCUGCCCUUGACUUUGGGAUAACUUCAGGAAACUGGGGCUAAUACCGGAUAGGAGCUCCUGCUGCAUGGUGGGGGUUGGAAAGUUUCGGCGGUUGGGGAUGGACUCGCGGCUUAUCAGCUUGUUGGUGGGGUAGUGGCUUACCCAAGGCUUUGACCGGGUAGCCGGCCUGAGAGGGUGACCGGCCACAUUGGGACUGAGAUACGGCCCAGACUCCUACGGGAGGCAGCAGUGGGGAAUAUUGCACAAUGGGCGGAAGCCUGAUGCAGCAACGCCGCGUGCGGGAUGACGGCCUUCGGGUUGUAAACCGCUUUCGCCUGUGACGAAGCGCGAGUGACGGUAAUGGGUAAAGAAGCACCGGCUAACUACGUG
rnacentral:rRNA from 1 species